GCCAGACUCCUACGGGAGGCAGCAGUGGGGAAUAUUGCACAAUGGGCGCAAGCCUGAUGCAGCCAUGCCGCGUGUAUGAAGAAGGCCUUCGGGUUGUAAAGUACUUUCAGUCGGGAGGAAGGUGGUAAGGUUAAUAACCUUAUCAAUUGACGUUACCGACAGAAGAAGCACCGGCUAACUCCGUGCCAGCAGCCGCGGUAAUACGGAGGGUGCAAGCGUUAAUCGGAAUUACUGGGCGUAAAGCGCACGCGGGCGGUCCGUCAAGUCGGAUGUGAAAUCCCCGGGCUCAACCUGGGAACUGCAUUCGAAACUGGCAGGCUGGAGUCUUGUAGAGGGGGGUAGAAUUCCAGGUGUAGCGGCGAAAUGCGUAGAGAUCUGGAGGAAUACCGGUGGCGGAGGCGGCCCCCUGGACAAAGACUGACGCUCAGGUGCGAAAGCGUGGGGAGCAAACAGGAUUAGAUACCCGAGUACUC
rnacentral:rRNA from 1 species